UCCAGAUUCCAAUCUACGCCGCGGAUGCCCACCUCGCGCAUCGCCCAUUCCCCCUCCCUGUGGGGCAGCAGCCCUACCCCGAAGCGCUGGCCUCCGCCGCUAACUCCGUCCACCGUCGAUUCCCUUUCUCGUCCAUUGCAACCUCGGUAGUCCGAGCCCGUCGGCGUCCGUCGUCCUCACCGUCGCAAUGCCGUGCUCCUCCUGAUGUUGUCCUCACCGUCACCUAGCCGCAUCCACUUUGGUCUCAUACGCCACCCGAAGAUCUGCCGCGUGUUCCCUCGCUACAGCACCCCGCAAGCAUCUUCAGCCUCCGGCCCGUCAAGCAGAAAUGCAAACAAGAGACAAUAAGUAAGACUGAAUCUCCCCUAGGAAUGAAUUUUCUCCUUUUUUUGGAGUUCUUUUAUGCCUCUCGGUGGAUUUUUGGGUGAUGACACAUGUAAUUUUGGGAGGAGCAGGGAUAUGAUUCACGUGUUCAUCUUGCGAUUAUGGAGUAUAUAACCCCACCUAUUGGAUGGCCGACCCAUGUCACCCUGUUCGCCUUGGUCGCCGCCACUUAACGGCAUGGUGGUGAACACCAGUGCAAGCACAGUGGCGGCUUCUCUUGCCUAGGUAUUGCGUGUAGGUUUGUGGGUACGGCACAGAUUUGGAGGUUCAGCUCCUGCCUGCAUGUGCAAAAAGUUCAUGAUUUGCAUCUCUAAUAUAACAUGUUGCACUGAACCUCAAAUGUAAAAGCACAUGGUGGUCAAGAAUCGGCAAAUGCUCAUGCUGGAAAUAGCAGUGUGACCAAGUCAAAAAGUGAGCCGGCCACUCCAACACAACCUAAGACAUUGGUGCUCCAAGACACCCUCAAGACAUUUGUAUGGGUAGCUGAGAUUUUAGAAUUGGAAAGCAUUGCAGGAGCAAGGAGAAACUACACAAGAAUCAGUUUUUAAACGAAUGUAUAUUAUGUAUAAUGUAUGGAAAGCUUAGUUCUAGUUUGUAGUAUCUUCUCUUUAAUUAUUUACAUCAUGUCUGAUUUGUUUUAGUUGUGAACUCCAUACACUUUUAGUAUUUGUAUGUGUUCCUAGAUUUGUUACAAAGGAUGCUAAUUGUGAGAAUGGAUUUCUACGAAUGCAAUUGGUGAUGUGGACUGAUGACUUUAUAUAGUGAUA